rnacentral:lncRNA from 1 species
AGUAUCAAGUUGUAAAACUUUAUUAUUUUUAUCUUUAGAAAACUUUACUUAUAUAUUUCCGUUUCCAAUAUCAAUUGGCACGUUAAUUUAUUUAUACAUGCAAUAUGUUUAUGAUUUGUUUGCCUUCUCUCUUAAGGCGUGUGUAAGGAGAAAUAUUAAAAAUUUGAAAAUAGUGAAAUAAGGUUGUAAAGUUUUUCCUUCGUUAUAUUUUAUGUCUGUCAUUUUACACUUACUAAUUUGAUUUUCUAAUUAUACCACUACUUGUUUCAUAAUAGUUUAUAAUUUAUGCUUGAUUGAAAAUAAUUGAAUAAUAGAUUUAUUAGUUUCUAAGUUCUCUUUUUUUAUUAAAAAAAAGAAGAAGUGCUAUUUAAAAUGAGACUGCUUAAUUAUUUUUGUGACAGCUACUUAAUCACCACAAAACUUCCCCAGAUGGUAAUUUGCGAUCGUAGGUGGUCGUUUUACAAAUUAUUAUAUCAUCGUCUUAACAAACCUUUUGUGGCGGUAAACAGCCACAGCCAAGGAAAUAUUCUUCUUGCAUGGUCACAGCAGGUUUAAAAAUAAUUGAAAAUAUAUUAUAAUAUAAUUUAAUAAUGAUUGAAAAAAAUGCAGUAUUGUAAAAAAAAAAGAGUAAUUGCAAAUGUCGUUUUGUGCCCCUUUUCACAUUUUUUUCAGACCCCAUUAAGUUUCCGCUUUCCCUCCUCUACCCUUUUUCAUUCGAGAGCUAUCCAAACGUCCAUUUCCAUUCACUAAUCCAACGACACUAAAUUACUUUGUUGCACCGUUCAGAUUAUGCAAUAGCGCAGGCGAAUCCAUUUUGCCGUUCUCUUUCUAUCUUUUUAGUGGGUCAUUAUUAUUAGGAUGUGUUUGUAUGCUGAUGUUUCUUUUAUAAUUACUGCAUUUACAUGUAUUGUUGACUUAGUUUUUGUUGAAGCAUACAUUUUGCAAACCAUCUUCAAAUAAUUUACUCGCCUUUGCACUUCGCAUUACUUCUUUAUCAAUUACUUUAAAGCCAUAACUAUCUUGUACCUACUAUAAGGUAAAGAAUAAAUUAUAACUAUACAUGUAAAGUAAUAAAUAGUAGAAAAUUCAUUAUAAAAGAAUAUUCUACUUUGAAGUGGUUCCAACAUAACCGGACCCUUACAUUUAUAUUAUAUUUUAUGCAAGUUGAAAAAGCUAAAAAAAAAAAGUUUUUAAAAAAGUUUUAUAUUUGGUAAAGG